UGUUGUGCUAUGAUACAACAUGUAAUUAUGUUUUUUAUGGAUAUUUUAAUAUAUUACUUGAGUAGAGAAUCUGGGGCUGAGCCACAAGAUGUAUCUCUUUGUCAUUUCAUUGUAAAAAGUAUACGUUCAAAUGUGUAGUUGUGGUUUGUGAAUCAACCUUACAAAAUUCACAUAACUAGUAUUAUAUCAAUGUAUUUUUAUUACAGCUGAUGUACAAUGUAUUUGUAAAAUCAAAUCCAAAACAGCUGUGUGUUGAUGUUGAAACAUCAUUACGGAACCUCCGCAUGAUAUGUGGGGGUUUUUUAAUACCGUGAUGAACGGUUACAAUAAACCAACAUGAAGCUGA